UAGGGACAAAAGAUGGAGUGGGAGCCAGGACACCUAAAGCAAUUUGGAAUCCAACUUGGUGGGCUGUGAUUAGAAAGAGAGAGGCUUGAGUGGGAAUGCUCCAAACACUGAAGCAAACCCAAUUCGAAUCUGAAAGGGGAAAGAAAGCAAAGAUAUUUUAUUUUAUUUUAUUUUAUUUUAUUUCCCAUAGAUGCCAAAGCCUCUGCCUUUGGAUGAAAAGGGACGGCGACUUUUCUGGUUUUCUUUGUGAAAAAGCCUUGGGCAUCUACACCCACUAACAUUAUAUUCUUCCGCUGUUUCCAUGGCUACAGCGUUCUCAUUUGUUAGGAUUGGUGCAAUGCUUGAAAAUGGACUCAACCAUGGCAGCGACCUCAUCUUCCCUAAUGGGUCUGCCUCUGAGAGCCUCGAUCCACUUGGGAGAGAAAAGCUCCAGAGUGCACACCUUCCUCACGUACGUUAACAUCAUUAAACAUAGCAUAAUCCGUACGUUGAACUCAUACAGUGGGCCGGAGAGCACUUAGACCUACAGAAACACUACAAGUAGAAGACCAUCAAUUGAAUGGACCUUUAAAGUGAAGGUAAAACAAAAAGGAAGCAAUCCAGAUUUAACCAGAGUGCAGAGACAGAUUAAAUAUUGUUCUUAUCUGGGUCAAUCUUCUCAGGAGAUUCCUCCUCUUGUAUUAAUCCCACCUCACCAUUCUCAUACCCUCCUCUAGCAUGAGCCACCACCACUUCUCAUCUACACUUGUGACUUCCAAAUUUUGGGUAUUCAUCCCGAGGCAGAGCCAAAACUGAAGUAUUACUUCUGGUUUUGUUAGUUGGCUGAUCAAAGAAACCGACUUUGUACUUUGGAAAUGACUCAACCACAGAAGAGUUGCAAUUGUAGAGCAAAAAGAAGUCAGCUUGAUUUGAAGCCAACUUCUACUGAUC
rnacentral:lncRNA from 1 species